rnacentral:lncRNA from 1 species
AAUGCUUACCCCGAAUGCGCGCUUGCACGCACGAACACCUAUACACAUGCAGAUGCAAAGGUGAUUGAUUGAUUAGUUACUGCAUUAUAACCAACCCUGGUCCCAUUUAAUGUUACCACAGCCAUGGCCUUUAUUGUCUAUAUUCCCUCUGGAGUUCUCUACUGGCUAAAACAUAGAACUUAAGCUCAGCUAAAAACAAACAAACAACAAACGACCCUCAAAGGAGCCUGGUGGUGGUGGUACAUGCCUUUAAUCCCAGCACUCAGGAGGCAGAGGCAGGUGGAUCUCUGUGGGUUCAAAGCCAGCCUGGUCUACAAGAACUAGUUUCAGGACAGGCCCCAAAGCUACAGAGAAACCCUGUCUUGAAAAACACAACAACCCCCCUUCUCUCCCCCCCUCCAAAACCACCACCACCACCAAAAAAAAAAAAAAAAAAAAAAAAACUCAAAGAGCAAACCCUUCCUGUAAGAGAACAAACCUUCCCUGUAAAGGUGUAUAUAUCUUGACUCAAAAGACUGACACUCCCGCUUUCCUUGGUGGCAGGCAGAUGUGGCACAGAUCUGGUGCCUUUCCUUAUGUGAGGUCAGAAGACCAAUAGAACGUAAAGUAACACCUUAGCCCUCGUUUUUCCCACUGGGUGGCUUAUGCGGUUGGUUUUUUGUUUUUUUUUUUUUUUUUUUUUUUUUUUUUUUUUUUUGGAAUGGGAUCUAGAGGAAGUAGCUGUCUGCCAUCUAGUGUACCCAGCUGGAUUUGCAUCUUGCCACUGUGCUGGCUAUUGAUAGGAGUCAGAGAACAGAGCUCAGAUUAGAAUGAAGCAGAGUUUACACAGGACUCUCUUUUUCACUUCAGAAUUACAGAAACAAAACAAAUCAACAAGAAGACACAUAUCCCUGAACAUUUGCUGCAACAAGGUCGUCUGUACUCUGAAGGAGGUGGUCAGCCAGGACUGGAAUGAUGUCACAACAAGCUCUGAGAGAGUUUAGUAUGAUGGCUUCAGCUUAGCUUCAGAGGAAAGUGAGCAAGUGGUGCUGACGUUAUCCAUGCACUGGGACUCCAUAGCUGGUGAGCACAU